rnacentral:tRNA from 1 species
CGGAGUCGGCAGGACACUUGAGGACACCCCAUCAACACGGUUCGGGACCGUGAGGCCCCGGGUUCAAAUCCCGGGCCCCCGACCA